GGCAGUUCCCCCCAUUCAAUCCCAGGAUACAUCAGAAGAAGAUGAAGAAAGAGAUGUGCAUCCAUCUGUGAGCCAAGCCCUCUGAACACAUUCCGUCUUUCCAGCUACAGUGAAAGACAAAUGAACAAGCUCCCACUGCUCUGAAUAGCAGCAAGGCGACUGCUUGCCAGCCUCUGAAACCUGGUAUUGUCCCUCCCGGAGUCAGAACUUGACCUUAAGAACAUUCCUGCCGGUUUCUCCGAGGGACCAUGUCCCUGUGCUGCUGCAGAAGCCUGUUUGCCACAGGUGUGGAAGGACCCAUAAUUCCCGUGUACAGCAAGUGCAGCUGCAGGAGAACAUAAUUCUCCCCAUGGAAAUAAGGGUGUGCUCGCAUGUGGGAUAGGGAGAGAUGGUGCCAGCUGGGAUGGGUGCAGCUCCAGCACAGGGAGACAGGCAGAACAAGGGGCGCAGGAGGAAAUCUCUGAAUCACAAAGAUGUCACCCAGGAGCCGCCUGGCACCAGUCUCUGCUCAGCGCUGGGUUUUGCCCACAAGGUCCCCUGCUCACUGCACGUAAGUUGUCUCAUUACUGUAGUUCACUUCUCCCAGGCAAGGAGCUUGUCCCUCCACUGUGCCAUAGAGCCAAAGUGUCACUUCUCAUCUCUCUGGGACUCACCUUCCCUUCCCCAGUAAUA